rnacentral:rRNA from 1 species
AGUUUGAUCCUGGCUCAGGAUGAACGCUAGCGGCAGGCUUAACACAUGCAAGUCGAGGGGUAUAAGUCUUCGGAUUUAGAGACCGGCGCACGGGUGCGUAACGCGUAUGCAAUCUACCUUUUACAGAGGGAUAGCCCAGAGAAAUUUGGAUUAAUACCUCAUAGUAUUGUGAAAUGGCAUCAUUUUAUAAUUAAAGUUACAACGGUAAAAGAUGAGCAUGCGUCCCAUUAGUUAGUUGGUAAGGUAACGGCUUACCAAGACGAUGAUGGGUAGGGGUCCUGAGAGGGAGAUCCCCCACACUGGUACUGAGACACGGACCAGACUCCUACGGGAGGCAGCAGUGAGGAAUAUUGGACAAUGGGCGCAAGCCUGAUCCAGCCAUGCCGCGUGCAGGAAGACGGUCCUAUGGAUUGUAAACUGCUUUUGUACAGGAAGAAACAYUCCGACGUGUCGGA